rnacentral:rRNA from 1 species
CCUACGGGUGGCUGCAGUAGGGAAUAUUGCUCAAUGGGGGAAACCCUGACGCAGCAACGCCGCGUGGAGGAUGAAGGUUUUCGGAUUGUAAACUUCUUUUGUAAGAGAAGAAAAUGACGGUAUCUAACGAAUAAGCACCGGCUAACUACGUGCCAGCAGCCGCGGUAAUACGGAGGGUGCAAGCGUUACUCGGAAUUACUGGGCGUAAAGAGCGCGUAGGCGGGACAGCAAGUCAGAUGUGAAAUCCUAUGGCUUAACUAUAGAACUGCAUUUGAAACUGUUAUUCUAGAGUACGGGAGAGGUAGGUGGAAUUCUUGGUGUAGCGGUAAAAUCCAUAGAGAUCAGGAGGAAUACUCAUGGCGAAGGCGACCUGCUAGAACAUAACUGACGCUGAGGCGCGAAAGCGUGGGGAGCAAACAGGAUUAGAUACCCGUGUAGUC